rnacentral:rRNA from 1 species
CCUACGGGAGACUGCAGUGAGGAAUAUUGGUCAAUGGCCGGAAGGCUGAACCAGCCAUGCCGCGUGAAGGUCAGUGCCCUAUGGGCGUUAAAACUCUUUUGUGCGGGAGCAAUAAUGGUCACGUGUGGCCAGACGAGAGUACCGUACGAAUAAGCAUCGGCUAACUCCGUGCCAGCAGCCGCGGGAAUACGGGGGAUGCAAGCGUUGUCCGGGUUUAUUGGGUUUAAAGGGUGCGUAGGCUGGGAGGUUAGUCAGCGGUGAAAUGCCCCCGCUCAAAGGGGUGAAGUGCCAUUGAUACUGCCGUGCUGGAGUGCAGAAGCGGUAGGAGGAAUGUGUGGUGUAGCGGUGAAAUGCAUAGAUAUCACACAGAACACCGAUUGCGAAGGCAGCUCACGAGACCGCGAUUGACGCUGAUGCACGAAAGCGUGGGUAUCAAACAGGAUUAGAUACCCCAGUAGUC